UAGACUAAUGAAGAUAUGGAAAAUUUGAUAAUUGCUACUAAUUGCUCCUGAAUCGCUAGUAAUUGCUCCGCACAUGUUGUAAUUUGCUCCCUCAUAGUUUUCGAUGAAAUUGGAAAAAAAGGGACCGGCUUGGAGGUUACGUUGAAGAACGGCAGAUUCGAAAUUGUAUCCGAAACAAAAAAAUAUCGAUUUGGUCCGAGUGACAAUUGCUUCUAUUUGCUCCUCGGUUUCUUUUUAAUUAUUUACCAAUUCCAUCAUUUGCUCCCUCACAGUUUCCGAGAAAACUGGGAAAAACGACACCGACUCGUUGCGAAGCGGAAGUUCAAGAAGCCACAGAUUCAGACUCUGUCGGAUUUG